UCAGUGUGUGUGUUAGUGGAAGCGUCUGGAAAGGCGCGCGAUACAGGGUGACAGCCCCGUACACAAAAAUGCACAUGCUGUGAGCUCGAUGAGUAGGGCGGGACACGUGGUAUCCUGUCUGAAUAUGGGGGGACCAUCCUCCAAGGCUAAAUACUCCUGACUGACCGAUAGUGAACCAGUACCGUGAGGGAAAGGCGAAAAGAACCCCGGCGAGGGGAGUGAAAAAGAACCUGAAACCGUGUACGUACAAGCAGUGGGAGCACGCUUAGGCGUGUGACUGCGUACCUUUUGUAUAAUGGGUCAGCGACUUAUAUUCUGUAGCAAGGUUAACCGAAUAGGGGAGCCGAAGGGAAACCGAGUCUUAACUGGGCGUUAAGUUGCAGGGUAUAGACCCGAAACCCGGUGAUCUAGCCAUGGGCAGGUUGAAGGUUGGGUAACACUAACUGGAGGACCGAACCGACUAAUGUUGAAAAAUUAGCGGAUGACUUGUGGCUGGGGGUGAAAGGCCAAUCAAACCGGGAGAUAGCUGGUUCUCCCCGAAAGCUAUUUAGGUAGCGCCUCGUGAAUUCAUCUCCGGGGGUAGAGCACUGUUUCGGCAAGGGGGUCAUCCCGACUUACCAACCCGAUGCAAACUGCGAAUACCGGAGAAUGUUAUCACGGGAGACACACGGCGGGUGCUAACGUCCGUCGUGAAGAGGGAAACAACCCAGACCGCCAGCUAAGGUCCCAAAGUCAUGGUUAAGUGGGAAACGAUGUGGGAAGGCCCAGACAGCCAGGAUGUUGGCUUAGAAGCAGCCAUCAUUUAAAGAAAGCGUAAUAGCUCACUGGUCGAGUCGGCCUGCGCGGAAGAUGUAACGGGGCUAAACCAUGCACCGAAGCUGCGGCAGCGACGCUUAUGCGUUGUUGGGUAGGGGAGCGUUCUGUAAGCCUGCGAAGGUGUGCUGUGAGGCAUGCUGGAGGUAUCAGAAGUGCGAAUGCUGACAUAAGUAACGAUAAAGCGGGUGAAAAGCCCGCUCGCCGGAAGACCAAGGGUUCCUGUCCAACGUUAAUCGGGGCAGGGUGAGUCGACCCCUAAGGCGAGGCCGAAAGGCGUAGUCGAUGGGAAACAGGUUAAUAUUCCUGUACUUGGUGUUACUGCGAAGGGGGGACGGAGAAGGCUAUGUUGGCCGGGCGACGGUUGUCCCGGUUUAAGCGUGUAGGCUGGUUUUCCAGGCAAAUCCGGAAAAUCAAGGCUGAGGCGUGAUGACGAGGUACUACGGUGCUGAAGCAACAAAUGCCCUGCUUCCAGGAAAAGCCUCUAAGCAUCAGGUAACAUCAAAUCGUACCCCAAACCGACACAGGUGGUCAGGUAGAGAAUACCAAGGCGCUUGAGAGAACUCGGGUGAAGGAACUAGGCAAAAUGGUGCCGUAACUUCGGGAGAAGGCACGCUGAUAUGUAGGUGAAGUCCCUUGCGGAUGGAGCUGAAAUCAGUCGAAGAUACCAG
rnacentral:rRNA from 1 species